rnacentral:rRNA from 1 species
CCUACGGGGGGCUGCAGUGGGGAAUAUUGGACAAUGGGGGGAACCCUGAUCCAGCCAUGCCGCGUGUGUGAAGAAGGCCCUCGGGUUGUAAAGCACUUUCAGUGAGGAAGAACGCCUGGUGGUUAAUACCCAUCAGGAAAGACAUCACUCACAGAAGAAGCACCGGCUAACUCCGUGCCAGCAGCCGCGGUAAUACGGAGGGUGCGAGCGUUAAUCGGAAUUACUGGGCGUAAAGCGCGCGUAGGUGGCUUGAUAAGCCGGUUGUGAAAGCCCCGGGCUCAACCUGGGAACGGCAUCCGGAACUGCCAAGCUAGAGUGCAGGAGAGGAAGGUAGAAUUCCCGGUGUAGCGGUGAAAUGCGUAGAGAUCGGGAGGAAUACCAGUGGCGAAGGCGGCCUUCUGGACUGACACUGACACUGAGGUGCGAAAGCGUGGGUAGCAAACAGGAUUAGAUACCCUAGUAGUC